GGAUAUGGGUUGUCCUAUGACAACGCCUACGGGCGGUCAUGUCAGACUUUGGUUUCUUUCGGGUGUUCGCCGGGGGUCUCCGCAGUCGCCGUCGCCGUGGGCGUCGUGACAACGCCAUCUUCGACUUCUUCCACAAGCCAUCGCCUGCAGCGCUUGGCCUCAACCACAAUGCAGAAAAUACGCCCGAACAACAGAAGUGAGUGACAUCACGUGAGCUGAGCCGAAUUUCACGGUGACUUCGACGAAAAAUGCCAAAACGCCUCAAGAGAGCUCUAACAGGGCGCCUGUCAUGCGGAGAGGACCGGCCUAACAAACUUCGACACGGUGAAAUGGACCAAUUAAAACAGAUUGUUUAUUUAAA